ACCGGAAAACCGUGGAGACACGGUCCCCCUUGUGGUCGGUGUACAGGUGGUGCAUGGCUGUAGUCAGCUCGUGUCGUGAGAUGUUGGGUUAAGUCCCGCAACGAGCGCAACCCUUAUUCUGUGUUGCCAGCACGCCCUUCGGGGUGGUGGGGACUCACAGGAGACUGCCGGGGUCAACUCGGAGGAAGGUGGGGACGACGUCAAGUCAUCAUGCCCCUUAUGUCUUGGGCUGCACACGUGCUACAAUGGCCGGUACAAUGAGCUGCGAUGCCGUGAGGUGGAGCGAAUCUCAAAAAGCCGGUCUCAGUUCGGAUUGGGGUCUGCAACUCGACCACCAUGAAGUCGGAGUGGAUAGUAAUCGCAGAUCAGCAUGCUGGUGAGAAUACGUU
rnacentral:rRNA from 1 species